CCUACGGGGGGCAGCAGUAGGGAAUUUUCGUCAAUGGGGGGAACCCUGAACGAGCAAUGCCGCGUGAGUGAAGACGGUUUUCGGACUGUAAAGCUCUGUUGUAAGAGAAAAACGGCCGACAUAGGGAAUGAUGUCGGAGUGAUGGUAUCUUACCAGAAAGUCACGGCUAACUACGUGCCAGCAGCCGCGGUAAUACGUAGGUGGCGAGCGUUAUCCGGAAUGAUUGGGCGUAAAGGGUGCGUAGGCGGUACGGUAAGUCUGUAGUAAAAGGCGGCAGCUCAACUGUCGUAGGCUAUGGAAACUGUCGAACUAGAGUGCAGAAGAGGGCGAUGGAACUCCAUGUGUAGCGGUAAAAUGCGUAGAUAUAUGGAAGAACACCAAUGGCGAAGGCGGUCGCCUGGUCUGUAACUGACGCUGAAGCACG
rnacentral:rRNA from 1 species